AGAUUAAGUUAUUAAGGGCGCACGGUGGAUGCCUUGGCACUAGAAGCCGAUGAAGGACGUUACUAACGACGAUAUGCUUUGGGGAGCUGUAAGUAAGCUUUGAUCCAGAGAUUUCCGAAUGGGGAAACCCAGCAUGAGUUAUGUCAUGUUAUCGAUAUGUGAAUACAUAGCAUAUCAGAAGGCACACCCGGAGAACUGAAACAUCUUAGUACCCGGAGGAAGAGAAAGAAAAUUCGAUUCCCUUAGUAGCGGCGAGCGAAACGGGAAGAGCCCAAACCAACAAGCUUGCUUGUUGGGGUUGUAGGACACUCUGUACGGAGUUACAAAGGACGACAUUAGACGAAUCAUCUGGAAAGAUGAAUCAAAGAAGGUAAUAAUCCUGUAGUCGAAAAUGUUGUCUCUCUUGAGUGGAUCCUGAGUACGACGGAGCACGUGAAAUUCCGUCGGAAUCUGGGAGGACCAUCUCCUAAGGCUAAAUACUCUCUAGUGACCGAUAGUGAACCAGUACCGUGAGGGAAAGGUGAAAAGCACCCCGGAAGGGGAGUGAAAUAGAACCUGAAACCGUGCGCUUACAAGUAGUCAGAGCCCGUUAAUGGGUGAUGGCGUGCCUUUUGUAGAAUGAACCGGCGAGUUACGAUUUGAUGCAAGGUUAAGCAGUAAAUGUGGAGCCGUAGCGA
rnacentral:rRNA from 1 species